rnacentral:rRNA from 1 species
GACGAACGCUGGCGGCGUGCUUAACACAUGCAAGUCGAACGAUGAACCCGGAGCUUGCUCUGGGGGAUUAGUGGCGAACGGGUGAGUAACACGUGAGUAACCCGCCCUGGACUCUGGGAUAAGCGUUGGAAACGACGUCUAAUACCGGAUAGGACCUUGGAUCGCAUGAUCUGGGGUGGAAAGUUUUUUCGGUCUGGGAUGGACUCGCGGCCUAUCAGCUUGUUGGUGAGGUAAUGGCUCACCAAGGCGUCGACGGGUAGCCGGCCUGAGAGGGUGACCGGCCACACUGGGACUGAGACACGGCCCAGACUCCUACGGGAGGCAGCAGUGGGGAAUAUUGCACAAUGGGCGAAAGCCUGAUGCAGCAACGCCGCGUGCGGGAUGACGGCCUUCGGGUUGUAAACCGCUUUUAGUAGGGAAGAAGGGCUUCGGCUUGACGGUACCUGCAGAAAAAGAACCGGCUAACUACGUG